rnacentral:lncRNA from 1 species
GAAGUGGGUUAGCGUUGAUUGCAUUCGUUUUGGAACUGGGCUGCAUCCCGGGCAUAAGCCAGGUGCCCAGUUUUGGCCGAUGGUGAAGUUGGCUCAAAACAAAAGUGACGUAGGUUAAGCAUGUGGAGUGUCCCUGUUGGCACUGCAAAGUCUACCUGGAUCUGGGCCUCAUUACUAUCCGUACAUGCAGCCUGGUUUGGAGUUGAGUGCAUGGAUUCUAAAUGUGUUGGCCCUUCCUUGGCGCUCGCUCCACACAGCCUUGUGGAGUUGUUAUUCACACACGGGAGCAGAUGUUGUGAAGAGAAAACAGCGUGACAAGAUUGUGAUCGAUGCAUACUGCCCCAUCAAAAUCGCUGCAUAAUUUGGCGGAUGGCAUCAGGAUAACAACCCGCAUUAGCUGGAGACAGCUGUCGCCAUGGCGCCUGGCAGCAGAGUCCUAAAGUUGAGACAAUAUCCACAUCUGGAGAGCACACCAGGAAGACUUUGUCGUGUCUGUGACUAUCAUUAAAUGUGAAGACUGUAUAUUAUCAAAUCAAUUCUCCGUGUGUAAUUUAAUUACGCGAUUAAACUAAUCAUGUAACUUUAAUUAACUUGGAAGUCGGGGCACCACAAUGAUUUUUUUUUAUAGUGUCAAUUUCC